UCGAUCUCACGCAUUUGCUUCCUCUUCCUUCUCUCAAACCCUAGCCUCAUCACUCUCCUCUUAAAGCUGUGUCACCGCCCCUACCGCCGUCGUCCUACCCGCUGCCGUCGAAUCUGGUCCAGUCGUCGUCCCUUCUGUUUCAGCGUCGUCGCAUCUCAUCUCUGCCGUCACGUCACGCUGCAUAUGCUCCACCCUCCUCUGCUCGAACAAUCACAGCUUAUUCCUCAAUUCGGUCUCAGUCCUCGUCUUUGCCUGCUUCGUUGCGCUACUGCCGCCGUCCGUCGUCGUCGUAGACAUCGUUAAGUGACGAGACAGAGAGAGAGAAUGCGCUGUGAAGGGGAAAGAAGGGGUGGAGGUCGUGGGAGGAGGCGCGCGAAGGGUGAAGCCUUUGCUUCUUCCGUCGUGUUUGAGUUCGAAGACGGCCGCCAGUGCUGUUACCUCUGUUGCUGCCUCUGUCGUGCCUUGCCAUCAUGUUACCACUGAUUUCAAAUGCCUCAUUCUUGUUCUACUUCAAAUCAUGCUAAAUUUGUGAGUGUCCUUCCUUUUUGAAUGUUUAUAAAUAAUAAGAUUAGACAUUGAUUUUUCUGAUUAUGGUUUUGGUCUGAAUUUGGUCUUGUUUAAAUUUCAUGAUUUUGUUACUGGCUCCUAAAAGUUGGGUUUCUUUUUCUAAUAUGCUUACCAUUCCUUUUUGUUUUUGCUUGAAUUUUAGAAGAAAGAGCAAUGUAAUGUAUUCCUAUUUAUGAUUCCAUAAGACCAAGGUUAAAUUAACAAUUCAGGUGGAGUUGAGUUUUGUUUAUGAGUAAUUAAAUGCACGAAAUAGGAAUAUGGUUGCUAAUUUCUUUUGUGACUUUCAUUGUUCUUUUCCCUUGUUGUGCUGUUGUUGUUGUUAUGGCACUGUGAUUCUGAUCACUGAUGAGUGUUUUGAAUUUAGAAUUUCUGAUAAGUGACUUGUUAAGCUGCUGCUGUUGUUAUGCUGUUUUUGUUGUUAUGGCACUGUGAUUGUGAUUGUGAUUGUGAUUGUGUGAUCAGUGUUUUGAAUUUGGAAUUUGUGAUUAAUGACUUGUUAAGCUGCUGUUGUUGUUAUGCUGCUGUUUUGUUAUCGCACUGUUGUUAUGCUGCUAUUUUGUAAUGGUUGUUGCUGAAUGCUAAAAAUGAAAAUCAAAUCAAAUGAUGGUUGUUGCUGAAUGAGUAGAGUAGUUACCUGCCAAUGCCAUAUAUAAAUAAACUGAUGAAUAAUGAUGAUGAUGGUAGUGGAAAGAGAGUCAAAGUGUAUAGGUAGUUGGUGAUAUGUUAUGCUUUCUUAUUGAAUGACUACUUGUUAUGUUGAUACCUCAACUUGAAAACAACACUAGAUCCCGUUUAUGGCUUGCUCAACAAGAAGAAUCUGUUGCUAAGAGAGCUCUUUUACAACAGAUGAAUGCAACGCUGCCUAAGAUUAAACCGAAAAGAUCAUCUUGCAAGGUUCAGGUUCAUGUUCAGUUAGCAUAAUACCACAUAAUGAUCAACAUUUUCUAACUGAACUAGCUCAACAUUCUUUUGAAAUUGAUAAUCCUUUGUCUUCUGACAUUUGUAAAUUAGAAUCUGAGGUGUUAAGUGAUCCUGUUAACCCUCAAAGUCAAAAUUUAAUAUUUAGAUAUUUCUUUUUACUAUUUAACUUUUGAGUUUGUAUUUUGAUAAGAUCAUAAGAAA
rnacentral:lncRNA from 1 species